GCUCAAACUAUAACAGACAAAUUCACAUUUGACAUUUUAAACGCGCGAAACCAUCAAAGUAUAUUUCAAUUACCCACCAUAAGCAGGCUGCGGAUAUUUAUGUAAAUUUUUAGAGAUAUAACCAAGGAAGCGAAAUUUAAGCAACGAUUCGUUUCAUCUAUUGAAUACUAUAACCAGUUUUAUACUUUAAAUAAUUUGUACAAUUAUAUAUAUAUAUUUUUCUGCACGCUUAAAUUUCCUCUAAGCGAAUAAUCGCACUUUUAAGUUUCCCACAAAUACAUCUUCGCACGUUCAGACUUCCAACGAGUGUAUUUCUGCCCUCUUAAAUUUUCCAUGAACGCGUCUUUACAACUUUAGGUUUCUCAUAAAUGCAUCCUUGCACCCUUAAAUAUCACAUAAGCGCAUCUUUGCCCUUUUAAAUUUUCCAUAAAUGUAUUUUUGUAACUUUGAGUUUCUCGCAAAUAUAUCUUUCCACUAUUAAAUUUCCCUUAAGCGUGCCUUUGCCUUUUGAAACUUUCCAUGAGUUCUUUUGUGCACUAUUUCCAUAAAUGCAUAAACAUCCGCAGUUUAUGCCAUGAUGCAUUCAGAAAGCGGGCAACGGAGGAUAUUAAAUAAUACCGAGUAAUUCUUAUAAUUCCGAGUUAUCUGACCUUUUUGGCAGCUUCCUCCGUCUCCUUCAUAGCCCUCAGCUCCUGCUUGAAGCCUUCCUUCUCGCAAGCUUGGACCACUUCCGGUGGUUCGCAUCGUUCGGCGCCACGCAGCUUUCAUACGUGUCCUCGACGAAUACCUGAAGACGGAGCACUUCCUCGGAACAAACGGAAUCGCGGAACAACGUUUCUAGAAGCUCGUUCGCGUAACUUUCCAAUUCCGCGGCUCUAGCUUCGAGUUUGCGAAUGGUAUCCUAAAUUUGUCAUCGAGAAUUCUAAAGAUUCUAAAGAUUCUAAAGAAGAAGAAGUGUUUCUCGUUGAUCGUGUUGGUUAUCUCCGUAACUUCCGCCUGGAUCUGUUCUUCAGCGGACUGAAUCGUCACCAUCAAUUCAGACAUCGGCUUUGCCAGAGACUCCAAGUGAAUCAACGCGUUCAGAUUUUGCGUUUCUAUCGCUCUGAACACGUAGAUCAGUUCAAAUGGAUCUUCGAAGUAUAUAUUUGUCGGACCUGCCUUGUUGAUGUCUUGCUCGAACAAGUCUAAAAAUACGAAGCAAUAAUUUUCAGUACUUCGAUGCGAAGAAUACAAAUAUUCUAACUAACAAUUUGUUCGUUAAAUAUUACUACUAAAUGUUUCUCACUACAAAAUUACAACUAGUGAUUUGGAUAUUUUACACAUCUUUGCAUAUUCUGUCGCGUUGUUUUAUAUUGUUAGAAUUUCCUGUCGUUUAGAAUUGUCUAUAAUUGUACGAACAUCCGUGAUCUAGUCAAAGCUAAGAAACGUUCUUGAAGAUUAUUCCAAGACUCCUAUCGCAACGAUGAAUGAAACAUAAAUCUCGAAAGGAAAAAGGUAAGUAUAAAGGUAUGAAAUAAUUAAUAAAACCUCUAUGCAAGACAUUAACGAAAUAUCUUCUAGCAUAGAAUCUUUUCCCAAGGUAAAGAAAACAUACAAAUGUAGAAUAAUACGAAUUACCUAUGAGAACGUCAAGCGAAGCAACUUCGUCAACCAUUCUGUAUCGACCGAAUAAAUCGUCAGCUCUGUGAAGGAUGCUUUCUCCAGAAUCAGUGCGAUGAAUCCAGUCGUGUUCCGCCCGCCAAGCGAGCGGAGACACCUGAUAGAGGAAUCUUUGACACAUCUUCACUGUCCUCCAGCUCUCCUCCCAAUGAUACACGUCCAGUCUGACCUUACCGUACUCUGCAGAAAGCUUGUUCCUCCUGUCUGUGAUCUGCUUAGUCUUCUUUAUCUCGUUUUCAGCCAACUGUAGAAUCUUCAUGCUCUCCUCGUGAUCCGUCGAAAGGAACUCCUCGAAACCGCUCACGUAUCGACGGUAUCGUCGCUGGUAGGAUAAAUGAAACAUAUAGUAUUGAUGAGGAAUAGAUACUAGAGAUUUGGAUGAAAAAAUAAUUAUUAGAAAUUUGAAUGAAGAAUGAGAUAUUAGAGGGAAUUUGCAAUUUUUCCUAUUUAAUCUUUCAAUGUUGAUUGAAUUAUGGAAACGAGAUUGUAAUAUAUAAAAUAUAUAUCUGUCUACAAUUUAGCGCUAUGUUUAGAGACUUUAUAUCCUAGCUAAGGAAAUAAGUAAGAAUAAAGAGGGAAAAAAUUAUUUUAUUGCCAGGAAAUAAAUCAUCAUUCUUUAAAUUACUGGAAAAUAUAAACUAAGAAUGCAUAUCCUAUUUGUAAUGUCCUAGACAUUCUAAUAUAAGACGUAGGAAUUUGGUACGUAUCAAUAUGAGAUUUAUCAUAGAAACAUUAUUCUGGUACUUAUUAUCUUUUUCUUGUUAUAUAUUAAUAACAAAUUUAUGGUUUUAGAUCUGCAAAGACAGACCUUGAUCUCAUCGAGUCGUUUCUGCUCCUCGACGAACUGUUGGUCUAUACGAAUACAAUCGUCCAUUUCUUGUCCAGCCAGCAACCGAACCUUUAAUAUCUCACGAGUGUCUUCUACAUAGUUGCGCACAGAAAAUUUUUCUCUGAUUAAUCCUCCAUCCAAUUCCGAGAAAUACUGCGGAUCUACGUCGGUCAUGGCUAUAGCUUCUUCCAAAUCUUUGUGUUUCUUCGCCUCUAGAGUCUCGAUGUCCACGUCCACCUUGCAACAUAAUCGUACAACUCGUAUCAAGUAAGGAAAUUCUUCUGAAAUCGAAUAAUCAAAGUUCAAUCAGUAAUUAAACGUUCACAGGCUUAAAAAUCUUUAUAAUAAAUUGAUUAAAUUUACUUGCGAUUUUAUAUUUUCUAAUUUAAAACUUAUUAUUAAUUUUAUAUAUUUCUAUACUUUAGAGUAUUUUUCUUCCUAGCUAUAGUAAACAUUUAGAUUGAAUUCUACGACAAAUCAUAGAAAUAUUUAUACUCUCGCAAUUAUUGAGUACGAAUGAUUAAUAUCUUUUAAUAUAUUCUGCAAUGUAUAUUAAUAGAAAUGUAUGAUAUGGUGUAAUAAUUAAGUCUCUGAUUGAUAUAUCGUUUAUCGCAAAAUAGCAAAUAUUCGCAAUAUAAGUAAGUAGACAUUUUUUAAACAAAUUGUCGAAUUCAAUAAUUGUAAGAGUACGAUUCCCUGUAUAGUCUGCAUGUACUAAGAUCACACAUCAAAAUUGUAAUUCCUUACACGAAGUCUCCGUAGAAGAUCGUACGAGUCUUUGGCUUUGAAGACAUCCAUUCUUCGUUCUUUAUCUGUGGUACGUUUUUUCGCCUUCCAAUAUUGAAAAUAAGAGAACAUGAGCGAACAAGGAGGAUAGACGAAUGGAGAUUGCUCCUCCAGGACAUUCCUAGCUUCUCCCAAGUGUUCAUGGCCCUUGGUAAAAUAAUUCUGUGAUCUAAAAAGUACAGAUUUCAAUGAUCGUAAUUUAAAAGAUCACUCUGCAUGAUAACUAUACCGCCGAUUUUUAUUUAAGGCGCGAACAUGCAUAGAAUGCACAUAAUAAGCAAAAUAUCUAAAAUAAUGUACUCGCUACGUCAUACAGUAGAUAAAAUAAACUUUUAAUCACGUUCCAUUUUUUCAAUUAUGUGUAUGUAUAAAACAUAAAAUUGCACAAACGUUACCAAUACAUUUAUUUGUUAAUAAAUUAAUUCAAAAGUAUAUAGUAAUAUACGUUAAAAAUAUAAUAUUGCAUAUAAAAAAGGGUUGAACUGCACCCCCUAUAUUUUCACAUGCAAUAUUCGAUACAUUAUUAAAUCUUCUGUACAAGACACCCUGUAUAAAGAUUUAAAACUUCUCCAAAUAUAAAGCUGCAAAGUGUUUAUCAUUUCACAGGGGCGCUCUUACCUGAAGAAGCCUUUCUGAGACUUUCUGGUGGACGCUGAUUUCUUUCGGGUCUUCUGGCUGAUCUGGCGUCGUCUAGAAGAUGUCGACGUUGGAUCGGUCAUGUCUCCCGUAAUUCAGCUCAGCGUGCUUUAUUCAAACUGUCAGCUUUUCACCUGGUCGGCCGUUCACCUGCGUCGCUGUAGAAAAAGCUCCGCUUUUCAUUUGAUCGCAAUGGUCAAAGGCAAGCAGCAACAGAGAUGGCUCGCGUUUGCAUAAAACUUUUCUCUUCUCAAAUGUCUCAAGAAGAAUUGAAACACUGAAGAGUCUACCAAAGAACAAGAUUAUCGAGGAGCUUUUUUAAUUAAUAGAAUUAAAUCGUUCGCCUCUUGCUAGUGCAACUUUUCUGUUUUUUAUUUUCACUGUUUCGUCGAUCUACGUUUUAUUUUUAUCUGUUUCUUAAGAAAUUCCUAUCGCAAAUUUUGUUCUAUUCAUUUAAGAAGAAAGAGAGCUCGAUGUUGCAAUUUUAUCGUUGAUUUAAUUAAUAUGAAAAAAUAUGGGAUUGGUGAAAGAAACAUUGUAUUGAUUAUUUCGCUUGAACAGGUGCAGGAAUAACAUAGAAUAUAAAUGAAUCGACAAUGACAAUUUCACGGAUGUAUGGAAAAUGAAAGUUGAAAUGCAAAAUAAUCUCCUAUUAUCGAACUACGCUAAAGCUGAAGAUUCUCGAGAUACACUUGAGAGCAAACUUAAUUGAUACUCAUGAGUUUCUGCUAAAUUUCUGCUAAAAUUCCUCUGAGAGCAUCGACGAAGGAAGUUUACAUUUUAAAAAGACAAGUUUAUCAGGAGGAAUAAAGGAAAGCAUUCUAUUCAUCAAAGUGUCUUUUCAUGGACUGCUUAAAUCUUCUCAUAUCUAAAACCUUCAAAGUAUCACAUACCAGUUAUGGAAAUUGAUCACUAUAAUACUGUGUACAAUAAUUCUUCCAAAAAAGCAAUUAUAAAAAAAUAUAUAAUCCUAUAUAACAAUUUUUGUCUUCUAAGACAACUUCUAUAUACUUCUAUGUAUAGAAUUCUUGCCAAGGCAACAAGUUCUCAACAAGAGAUAUAACGUUAAGAUAUCAAAAUUCCUAUCUCUGUCUGCGAGGCAACGUUGAAAUGGAACAAGGAAUCGGAUGCAUCCUCUAGCGAUCCAGUGAAAAGUUGAUCCCUUAAAGAUCCGGGCACGCCCAGGAGCAACGGGCUCCGAUUCAAAGCUUGAAAAAGCUACUUACUUUCUAAAACAAAAGCUCGAAUCUCCUGCCUUUUCCAGCGAUAAAACUGCUAUCCAUCUGGACGUUGAAAAAAACGAGAGAGAGAAAUGAAAAAGAGUUCGAUAACCUGACAGCAACCUCCUCUUUAGCAAAUGUCACCACGCUGUCAGCAAGACGACGUUUCGUGGAUAAGCGGUUGCCAAGUGGAAUUGUUUGGCAUGCGCGUUGUAUUUCGAAAAGUAUCAUUGUCGUAAGAGAUGUAAUAUAGUUGGUUAAAACUUUGACUAAACCUUUGUCUUAUGAACUAACCAUUUGGCUUCGAAUAACGAGUAUGAUUCGUCAUGUUAAUAUGCUACAUAUCGUAUAUAAACAUAAUAACAAUAAUUAUUUACAGAACCGCGGAUAUUUAUACAGAUUCAUAUCUUUACGUGUAUAAUUUAAAAAGUGUAUUGUAAAUAUUUUAUAUACCUUUGCAUAUUAUACACGAUUUGUGUAUUUUUUAAAUUUAACAUUUCCCGCAAGUGUGUACAAAUCGAAAAACACUUUAUAAUAUACUGUAUAUACAAGGCAAACGACGAAAAGCUAAUUGUACUUCAUACGUCGAUUAAGUCACGUAAAACAUGUCAAUUAAAUCGAAAGAUUAAUUCACUACAGCCCGUGCCAUAGUCAGUGACAAAAUUUGUAUUUAUUUUCUUUUUUCUUUUUCUUUGCUAAUGUUUAUACUUCAAAACAUGUGACGACUCUAAUUGGCGUUUCUAAUGUUUGAAACGAUGCAAAAUAUAUCAGGCGAUAAUCUCUCAUGAUGUUAUAAGACAAGGGGUUAGUUAAAAAGGUUUAAAGGACGGUAGAGAUUGUCCUUAAUGCAUUUAGAGUUGUGUAUGUCUGAUAUAUAUAAGUGUACAUAUGCUAGCUACAAAAAGUAUUUAUUGUAAGAUUGUAUUCAUUGUAGCAUUUACAGA